rnacentral:rRNA from 1 species
AUUGAACGCGGGCGGCAGACCUAACACAUGCAAGUUGAGCGGAGCGGCGGACGGGUGAGUAAUGCCUAGGAAUCUGUCUGGCAGUGGGGGAUAACGUCCGGAAACGGGCGCUAAUAACGCAUACUAGCAGAUGAGCUGAGGGCGGAUUAGCUAGUUGGUGGGGUAAAGGCCCACCAAGGCGACGAUCCGUAACUGGUCUGAGCGGAUGAUCAGUCACACUGGACCUGAGACACGGUCCAGACUCCUGCGAGAGGCAGCAGGGGGGAAGAUUGGACAAUGGGCGAAAGCCUGAUCCAGCCAUGCCGCGUGGGUGAAGAAGGUCUUCGGAUUGUAAAGCACUUUAAGUUGGGAGGCGUUACCAACAGAAUAAGCACCGGCUAACUUCGUGCCAGCCGCCGCGGUAAUUC